rnacentral:rRNA from 1 species
CUUGCAAACUGGAGAUGGCGACCGGCGCACGGGCGAGUAACACGUAUCCAACCUGCCGAUAACUCGGGGAUAGCCUUUCGAAAGAAAGAUUAAUACCCGAUGGCAUAAUAGAACCGCAUGGUUUGAUUAUUAAAGAAUUUCGGUUAUCGAUGGGGAUGCGUUCCAUUAGGCAGUUGGUGGGUAACGGCCCACCAAACCCUCGAUGGAUAGGGGUUCUGAGAGGAAGGUCCCCCACAUUGGAACUGAGACACGGUCCAAACUCCUACGGGAGGCAGCAUG